ACGAACGUUAGCGGCGCGCUUAACACAUGCAAGUCGAGCGAGAAAGGGGAAACCCCGGUAAAGCGGCGCACGGGUGAGUAACACGUAGGUAAUCUGCCCCCAGGUGGUGGGAUAACCUUCCGAAAGGAGGGCGUAAUACAGCAUGAGACCACGGUUCCGAAAGGGAGUUGAGGUCAAAGACCGGCCACUUCAUGAAAGCUGGCGCCAGGGGAUGAGCCUGCGGCCCAUCACGGUAGUUGGUAGGGUAAUGGCCUACCAAGCCUAAGACGGGUAGCUGGUCUGAGAGGAUGAUCAGCCACACUGGAACUGAGACACGGUCCAGACUCCUACGGGAGGCAGCGGUGGGGAAUCUUGCGCAAUGGGCGAAAGCCUGACGCAGCGACGCCGCGUGAGUGAUGAA
rnacentral:rRNA from 1 species